rnacentral:ribozyme from 1 species
AAAGAAAAAAAAGGAAAUCGAGCGAAGGCUGCAAAGUGGACAUCGAGUCCAAAAACGAACGAAGGUGGACCUUACUUUUUGUUUUAUUUCUUUUUCCAAUUUGUUAUUGU